CUGAACGCUGGCGGCGUGGCUAAGACAUGCAAGUCGCACGGGGUAGCAAUACCCAGUGGCGAACGGGAGAGUAAUGAAUCGCUAAUGUACCCCGGACUCUGGGAUAGCUACCCGAAAGGGUAGGUAAUACCAGAUGACAUAACUUACAGGCAUCUGUGAGUUCUCAAAGGUCCGCCGGUCUGGGAGCAGGCGAUUUCGUAUCAGCUAGUUGGUGAGGUAACGGCUCACCAAGGCGACGACGCGUAGCCGGACUGAGAGGUUGGCCGGCCUCAUUGGGACUGAGACACUGCCCAGACUCCUACGGGGGGCUGCAGUAACGAAUCUUCCGCAAUGCACGAAAGUGUGACGGAGCGACGCCGCGUGUGGGACGAAGCCCUUCGGGGUGUAAACCACUGUCAGGGGUUACCAAGUUCUGAGGAGCCCCAGAGGAAGGCACGGCUAACUCUGUGCCAGCAGCCGCGGUAAUU
rnacentral:rRNA from 1 species